CCUACGGGAGGCAGCAGUGAGGAAUAUUGGUCAAUGGGCUUACGCCUGAACCAGCCAAGUCGCGUGAAGGAAGACGGCCCUAUGGGUUGUAAACCUCUUUUGUCAGGGAGCAACGCCGGCUACGUGUAGCCGGAGUGAGAGUACCUGACUAAAAAGCCCCGGCUAACUACGUGCCAGCAGCCGCGGUAAUACGUAGGGGGCGAGCGUUAUGCGGAUUUACUGGGUGUAAAGGGAGCGUAGGCGGCCAUGCAAGGCAGGGGGGAAAACGCGGGGCCCAACCCCGGGACUGCCGUUGGAACUGGAGGGCUGGAGUGCGGGAGGGGUAGGCGGAAUGCGUGGUGUAGCGGUGAAAUGCGGAGAUAUCAGGAGGAACACCGGCGGCGAAGGCGGCCGGCUGGACCGCGACUGACGUUGAGGCACGAAAGCGUGGGGAGCGAACAGGAUUAGAUACCCCAGUAGUC
rnacentral:rRNA from 1 species